UACGAAGGGUGCAAGCGUUACUCGGAAUUACUGGGCGUAAAGCGUGCGUAGGUGGUUUGUUAAGUCUGUUGUGAAAGCCCCGGGCUCAACCUGGGAAUGGCAAUGGAUACUGGCAGGCUAGAGUGCGGUAGAGGGUAGUGGAAUUCCCGGUGCAGCGGUGAAAUGCGUAGAGAUCGGGAGGAACACCAGUGGCGAAGGCGGCUACCUGGACCAGCACUGACACUGAGGCACGAAAGCGUGGGGAGCAAACAGG
rnacentral:rRNA from 1 species